rnacentral:misc_RNA from 1 species
GGGUGGGUGGGAGUUGAGA